ensembl:lncRNA
GCCUCACUUUCCCACGGGGUACACGGCGCACAUUUGCGUACCAGCCGCAGCCACGCUCAUGCCUUUGAGUUCCCGUCUGCUCGUAUUCGAGGUGGCAUCUCGUCACGCAGAUGUUGCCUUGGCUGUGUGUGGCCAGCCAAACCCCGGCACACAGGGCGGCAGGCCAGUUGUUUUCGAAACGAGUCGUGGAGGAAGCUGAGCCCAGUCAAGAGUGGGGGGCGCACCGCAAAAAAUUUGCACACAAGUUAAAAACACAUUUUUCUGGCAGUGUAAAUCUCGGGCAGGCUAAUUAAGCCGCGGCGGUUGGCAUGGAAUGGAACGCACGAGCGUUCGGGAGAGAAGCUUACGGGUAUGGGGCGGGUCACACGUGCCAACACCUAGCCACCAGCAGUGUCUCGGACACACGGGGGAAACGAUCAGCAAGCAUGCACAAUAUGAGGAACCUCUCCAUGCAAAAUGUAGGCGGUCUUGCAGUCUUUACCUGGUCAAGCGGAGUUCAUGAACAGGGGAGGCCCAUAACAUCCAUCGCUGCUGUGUGCCACUCUUUACCUCGUUGCACAGUUCUGAGGUUGAAGGUUUUCCAUCUUGGUGGCCGGUGCAGAUUUGAUGAGACGUUUCAUGAAGUCGUGUCUUCUGGCGUGGACGUCUGACUGGGGACUCGGGUUCCACUGCCGAGGGCAGAUCCGAGCUGUUUUAGACUGGGGACACUUUUGUCUGACUGGGUUCAUUUACAGUUCUGCUGGAGACUCCGGGAAAUGAAACAGAUACCUUUUGUCACAUCCUCCAACUCCACAUCCCUCUCUCUCUCUCUCUCUCUUUCGCUCACUCUCUCUCCCUCUCUCUCUUUCUCUCUCUCCCUCUUUCUCUCUCUCCCCCUCUCUCUCUCUCGCUCUGUGUCUCUCUGUUGUUUUCAUUCUUUAAACAGGCACACACAGUGCUGUGAGCUUUUUAUAAUGUGAACCAUUCACUGUUCUUAUUCACAAACACAUUACUGGCAGAAUGUAGACCAGACAGAAAGAAGAUGCGUGUGUGUGUGCGUGCGCGUGUUUGUGUGCGCGCGUGUGUGUGAGAGAGGUCUUUAGAGAGAUAGACAGUGUGUGUGUGUGUGUGUUGUUUGGAGUGUUGUGUGCGUGUCUGUGAGUGAGGGUAUCUGUUUGUGUUUAUGUUUAUGUGUGUGUGUGUUUGUAUACAAAGUCCCCAUUUAAAGUGGUUUGUAUGUGUUGUUUCUUUGUGUUUCUGAGAGUGUUGUUCUCUCUCUAGUCCAAACUAUGACAAUAAAAGUUAUAAAAAGUCAGUAAAAUAAUACCAAGAUGCAUGGCUUUUGUCUGUAUUAUAAUAACAAUUACUAAAGACGAC